AGACAACCAACAACAACAACCUCAUCACUCCAUGUGCAUCCCUCCGGAAGCUGCGCACUCAGUUGAAGUGGACGACCUUCCCCAAUAGAGGUGUACUGUUCUUCGGUCAAGGGUACACGUGUAGCGGUGCUCCCCUGCUAGAACAGAUAAGAUAGCUUAAACUUUGAUAAAUUCACCUUUGUAGGCCAGAGGCCAAAGGCCAAGAUGGCUGGCCUGUUCU
rfam:Monodelphis domestica chrTn_v05.000960 genomic scaffold, whole genome shotgun sequence.